AUGCUGGUGUGCGAAAAGACCAUCCACUACACCGAGCGGGAGAAGGCACACAUAAAACAAGUGGAAUUCCUUCGGAGGGAGGUUGAAAGACGUGGCAAAAUUAUCCACCGAUUGGAACUGGACCUGGCGGCAUCCGAGGCCAGCUUGUCUGCCUCGCAGACAAAUCUGGACGCCACCCAAAAUGAACUGGAUGACCUCCAACUUAUCAACGCCUCCCAAGGUAAUGCAAAUUACCCAACAACAUGUGUUUUAAUUUGGUUAGAGAUUUCAAGCCUUAUGAUUUUACCUAUUAGACUAUACUCUACAAAUUAACCUAGCGUACACAAGCAAACAAAUGCAUACCCAUCCAAAUUACUAAUUAAUAUUAACAUUUGCUUUCAUUUCCGCAAAUUAACCUAGCGUACACAAGCAAACAAAAGCAUACCCAUCCAAAUUACUAAUUAAUAUUAACAUUUGCUUUCAUUUCUAGAACACGACAACCAGAACCGCACAACCGCCUCCCAAGGUAUGACUAUACAUGGUGUUAAUAUGGAUUUGAUUUGUCAACGGAUACUGAUUCCUCCCAUCAGAGAUUGUCUUCAGAUUCCUCCCAUCAGAGAUUGUCUUCAAAUAUGGAUUUGAUCAGUCAUGUAUAACACCUAUUAGCCAAAUGUAAAAAAUAAUGGAAACGAUCUUUCCUCCCAUCAGAUACGGAUUCGUCCCGGCCAUUGUGUUCGACAAUGAUUGACGACAUGGACGAGAACGGGAACGGAGGUACACCUUCAUCUUUCAAAUGUCGUGGUUAUAAAAAAACAUGCAGGCUUUAUGUCCAUGUGCUCGGUAUACUGAUACUUUUUUCUUUACAUUUUGCAGAUCCACUACCAGGCCCCUGAAAACACUCCAGGCCCCUGUAAAUCGAAGAUAUUGUAAAUAGUGUGAUUCUUUUUAUAUAGUGUGGUGUUGUAAAUAGUGUGUUUUUUUUUAAUUGUAUACUCCAAUAAAAACUCAAACAUCUGAUAUUGUUUCAUAUUUACACAAAUUGCCCAUGCAAAAACGAAUGUUUCACAAUUCGUGUUCUUUUCUGUACUUGUGUGCCUGCGCUGGAACCGUCAAAUAUCCCAUGACGCAUAGGCUAUAUAGGGAC
rnacentral:lncRNA from 1 species